rnacentral:rRNA from 1 species
GGCUCUUUGGAAAUUUAAUAUAAAGAGUCCGGCCUGCCCAGUGAAUUUUCAACGGCCGCAGUAUCUUAACUGUGCUAAGGUAGCAUAAUAAUUUGUCCUAUAAUUGAGGACUGGAAUGAAUGGUCUCACAAGAGCAAAGCUGUCUCUUUUUGAUUAAAUAGAAUUUUACUUUCAGAUGAAGAGGUUUGAAUAUAAUUAAAAGACAAGAAGACCCUAUCGAGCUUUAAAAAAAUUAAUAAAAUUAAUUUUAUACUUAGUAAAAAAAAAUUAUUAAAAAUUUUGGUUGGGGCGACUAAGGAACAAAAAAAGCUUCUUUAUUUUUUAAAAACUCACUUGUUUUGAUCCAAAAAUUAUGAUUAAUGAAAUUAGUUACCGUAGGGAUAACAGCAUUAUCUUUUUUGAGAGCUCUAAUCGAAAAAAAGGUUUGUGACCUCGAUGUUGGACCAGAAUAUCCUAAAGGUGCAGAAGUCUUUAAGGGUUGGUCUGUUCGACCAUUAAAAUUCUACGUGAUCUGAGUUCAAACCG